rnacentral:misc_RNA from 1 species
GGCGCGGGAACCAGCCUCCUCUGCCCUGCCUGCACAAUUUCUUGGUGUUAUGCUUUGUAUCUCUGGUAUAAAGUGACUUUUGAAGAGCAGUGUUACGAUAAGUGUUUUGGAUAAAUGGAAAACAUGUACAAAUAGGGGGAUACCAAAGGGAGGCAUCCCCUGUGCCCGUGUGCAAGCCAGCUAUUUGAUUGUUCAGGGUCGCACCGGCGCUUGCCCCCACCAGCAACAUUCCCCCACACAGCAUGGCCUCGGUGGCCGCUUGGUUGCCCUUCGCUCGAGCAGCUGCCAUCGGAUGGGUUCCCAUCGCCAACAACCCAUUACCGGCGCCGCCCAUCCCAAAGGACAAGCGGCGGCCGGAUGAUGAAAAGCUGCUGAUCAAUGUGUCGGGGCGGCGAUUCGAAACCUGGCGCAACACGCUAGAAAAAUACCCUGACACACUUCUUGGUUCCAACGAACGAGAGUUCUUUUAUGAUGAAGAAACCAAGGAAUAUUUCUUUGACAGAGAUCCUGAUAUAUUUCGGCAUAUUCUGAAUUAUUAUCGCACGGGAAAGCUGCACUAUCCUAAACACGAGUGUCUCACCAGCUAUGAUGAGGAACUCGCUUUCUUUGGUAUCAUUCCUGACGUCAUUGGUGAUUGUUGUUAUGAAGAUUAUCGUGAUCGUAAACGUGAAAAUGCAGAGCGUCUAUUGGAUGACAAACUCUCAGAGAGUGGAGAGCAAGAUAAAUAUGUUUACCGUACUAUACGCGAGCGCAUGUGGCGCGCAUUUGAAAAUCCUCACACGUCAACUGCAGCAUUAGUGUUUUACUACGUAACUGGUUUCUUCAUUGCCGUGUCGGUCAUGGCUAACGUUGUCGAGACCGUUCCUUGCGGCCAACUACCAGGCAAGAAAGAAUCCCAACCUUGCGGGGAACGCUACAAAAUAAUCUUCUUCUGUGGAGACACAGCAUGUGUAAUGAUUUUCACAGCAGAAUAUCUUCUCCGAAUGUUCGCAGCGCCAGACCGCUGUAAGUUUGUCCGGUCAGUCAUGUCCAUCAUCGAUGUAGUAGCCAUCCUUCCCUAUUAUAUCGGAUUAGGAAUAACCGACAACGACGAUGUUUCUGGCGCCUUUGUCACACUGAGAGUGUUUCGUGUGUUCAGGAUCUUUAAGUUUUCGAGGCACUCACAAGGACUUCGAAUUCUUGGCUACACGCUUAAGUCAUGCGCCUCAGAACUAGGCUUUCUUGUCUUCUCAUUGGCCAUGGCCAUCAUUAUUUUCGCUACUGUCAUGUUCUAUGCAGAAAAGAAUGUAGAAGAGACAACCUUUACAUCCAUCCCUUCUGCGUUUUGGUACACCAUCGUUACCAUGACGACGUUAGGAUACGGUGACAUGGUGCCCCACACGCCCACCGGGAAGAUUGUUGGAGGGGUCUGCUCUCUCUCCGGAGUGCUCGUGAUCGCGCUGCCUGUACCUGUUAUUGUUUCCAACUUUUCAAGAAUUUACCACCAAAAUCAACGUGCAGAUAAACGGAAAGCACAAAAGAAAGCCCGCUUAGCGAGAAUUCGGAUCGCAAAGGCAUCCUCGGGAGCUGCUUUUGUGAGCAAGAAGAAGGCGGCAGAAGCUCGGUUGGCAGCACAAGAAAGUGGCCUUGAAAUGGACGAAUUUACGAAAGAAGAAGAUAUAUUUGAGCUCCAGCACCAUCACCUGCUACGCUGCCUCGAAAAAACAACGGACCGGGAAUUCGUUGAGCUGGAAGUGCCCUACAACGGCCAGCCCAACCGGCCGGGAAGCGCCUCGCCCCCGCAGAGCCGGAGCCCCUCGCUGUCCAGCCACGCCAACUUCACUGUCACCUGCUGUGGCCGAAGGCUGUAGACCCUAAGUUGGUUCAGUCCCCCUAAGCCCUCACAAGACGGCGUGCUAGGCGUCGCUCACAUGCCUAAAGGCGGCACCAGCGCAGAAUGCAGAUAUGACGAGGAAUUAAAUGAAAUUCAUAUUC